AAUGUCAAGUGGUUCCUACAAUAUCAUUGAUUGAUUCUAUAAUUCUGUGCUUAAGAAUGUUGUUUGAGAAGGUGCUUAAUAUGCCAACCAGUGAAUGGAGAGUACCCUCAAAGUUUGCUAAUUUCUGAAAGUGUGGGUCUCAACAAAACAUUAGUUGCCAUCAUGACAGAUGAAAAUUUGAUGCUUGACACCAUUCAACUUUCUGUUCCUAUAAUCAGAAAUAAUGGGGUGAUUUGGACUGAUGUACUAUUGAUGGAUGAAGUGUUGCCGGAGGCCGGUCUGUCUGAGUUUUCUUUAAAGGCUGCUCGUGUUAAUGUCAAACAAUUUAUUGAUUGUACUUUUUCCCGUCUUCUACUUCAAAUCUCAGGUUAGUUAGAUAUUGUUGUUUUUGAAGUCUAGAAGUUUAUUUACGUUCAUCAAAACCUUGCUUUGGUGGCCCAG